ensembl:lncRNA
AUUCGUGUGAAGUGGGGUUCCUUCACGCGGAAAACGCGGAAUUUUUGGGUGAAAGGUGGUAUGUUCAGGGAGAAAAUGUGCGAUUUUCCUUUGAAACGUAGAAUUUUCGUGAAAAAAAUGCGUGGUUCUUGGGAGAAAUGGGGUUGCUUCGCGCAGAAAAUGCGUGAUUUUCGGGGGAAAGGUGGUAUUUUCGGGGAGAAAAUGAGUGAUUUUCCUUUGAAAGGCGGUAUUUUCGGGGUGAAAAUGCGUGAUUUUGGGGUGAAACGUGGUGUAUUUGCGGUAGAAAGGCGUUAUUUUCCGGUGAGAAGUGGUAUUUUCGAGAAGAAAAUGUGGGAAUUUUCAAGGGAAAAGUGGUAUUUUCCGUGUGGAAAUGCGUGCUUUUCGAGAGAAAGGUGGUAUUUUUGGAGAGAAAAUGC